rnacentral:tRNA from 1 species
AUCUUUCUAGUAUAAAUUUAGUACAAGUGGCCUCCAACCAUUUAAUCUUGGUUAAACCCCAAGGAAAGAUA